AUGGGGAAGGAGGGGACGCGGCGGGGGCAGGAUGUGAGGCGGCGGAAGGGGAAGGAGGCGGCAAUGGACGAGGACGACGCGGCGCCUCCGACUGGUUGCUGGAUCCGCCUACCGCGACUGGGCGGCGGAUGCAUGUCGUCGGGCUCCAAGGUCGACUCCUCCACCAGCGGCGCCUGCGCCAACGGCGGCGAGAACAAAAAGGUAAAUCAUAGUUGUCGGGAUCAAUCAGCUCCACCAGCCGCAUCUGGUUCGACAACAUCCAGCAACACUGGAAGCAUCUCGCCUUCUUCCAUAGUUGGAGAAGAACUUAAACUAGCAGCCCAACUGCGUAGAUUUACGUUCAAUGAACUUAAGUGCGCCACCAGAAACUUUCGACCUGAGAGUCUUCUUGGCGAGGGAGGUUUUGGUUGUGUCUUUAAAGGUUGGAUUGAAGAGAAUGGAACUGCUCCGAUGAAACCUGGCACAGGAUUAACUGUUGCUGUCAAGACACUCAACCAUGAUGGGCUUCAGGGGCAUAAGGAGUGGGUGGCAGAAGUUGAUUUCCUUGGAAACCUUCAACAUCCACACCUAGUGAAAUUGGUUGGUUACUGCAUUGAAGAUGACCAACGGUUGCUAGUAUACGAAUUUAUGCCCCGCGGAAGUUUGGAGAACCAUCUUUUCAGGAGGUCAUUUCCGCUCCCAUGGGCUAUCAGAAUGAAAAUUGCACUUGGUGCUGCAAAAGGCCUUGCAUUUCUUCAUGAAGAAGCUGAAAGGCCAGUGAUAUAUCGGGAUUUCAAAACUUCAAAUAUUCUUUUGGAUGCGGAAUACAAUGCAAAACUCUCUGAUUUUGGACUUGCGAAAGAUGGCCCUGAGGGUGAUAAGACACAUGUCUCUACUCGGGUCAUGGGAACAUACGGAUAUGCAGCUCCUGAGUAUGUUAUGACAGGUCACCUGACAUCAAAGAGCGAUGUAUACAGUUUUGGAGUGGUGCUACUAGAGAUGAUGUCGGGCAGAAGGUCAAUGGACAAGAACAGGCCAAAUGGGGAGCACAAUCUGGUUGAAUGGGCACGCCCUUAUCUUGGAGAAAGAAGGCGAUUCUAUAGGCUUGUAGAUCCCCGUCUAGAGGGAAAUUUCUCCAUAAAAGGCGCUCAGAAGACGGCUCAGCUGGCACAUGCUUGCCUUAGCCGGGAUCCCAAGGCUAGGCCUCUCAUGAGCCAAGUGGUGGAAGUUCUCAAGCCUCUUCCAAACCUGAAAGACAUGGCUAGCUCCUCCUACUUCUUCCAGUCCAUGCGCCAAGAGCGUGCCGCAAGCCUUGGCAACCCAAAUGGUAGCCAAAGCAUGAAGGCACAGAGCACCUUUGCACGGAACGGAGUGCAGCCAAUGAGGAGCCUCUCCUACGGUCCGCACGCUUCUCCGUACCGUCAGUCUCCAAGGCCCAACGACAAACAGCCCUAA
rnacentral:rRNA from 1 species